GUGAGGUGAUCUGGCUGCACCAUCUGGCACCCCAUUGAUUGCCAGGGUUGAUUCGGCUGAUCUGGCUGGCUAGGCAGGUGUCCCCUUCCUCCCUCACUGCUCCUCCUGAAGCUGAGCGCUAGGUCGAAGAGGAUGACCUUCCCCGAAUAGAGGAGGAUCAGUCUUUGGUCAAGGCUAUACUAGUAGUUGCACUUCCCUGCUAGAACCCUGUUUGUUAUCUUAAGCAUUGAAACAUUAAGACAAAUUAAUAAUUUAGUGUUGAAUCUGUCAUUCAUACU
ensembl:misc_RNA 7SK 7SK RNA